CAUGUAGCUAUUAUGAAUAAUCACAUUUUAUUUGUAUUCAUUAUUACUGCAGGUAUUGAAUCACAGGCAAUGUUACUAGCAGCUUCACUGAAUGAUAAGGUGGAGUUAUUGACCCCGCCCAGUGGGUGUGUCCCUGGGGAACGUAUCAUCGUUGAAGGAUAUGAAGAGGAAGAACCUGAUGAUCAGUUGAAUCCAAAAAA